CACACAUUCGUGACCCCCCACACCCAAAAAUUCAUAAUACUUCAAACUUAGUUUCUGUUCAAUAUCAAGUCUCAGACAGAUGGACUCCAAACUCUUGAACUCCUCACGCACACACACAUACACGCGCGCACACGUGCACACACACACACACACAUGCACACACACGCACACUCCGUCUGAGCAAGCAGGACGUCCAUUUCCUUUCUUUUGUGCGCCAACGGGAAGCUCCGUUAUUGUGCGGACGUGAGCGCCGUUACUCGGUAACCUGCGCCGACGGAAGCUUCCAGAAGGUCCUUUUUGGCAGACGUGAGCGUGAACCAAUCAGAACGAAGAAGACGUUUGAACUCAGCCUUUCCACCAACCUCGCAUGAUGACGUCAGACCCUGCACCAUAGAAAGAUGGCGUCGCUGCCAAACGGACGCUAGAUGGCGCCAGAGUGUCGGGCAGGAUCUCUCAAAGGCGGAGAUGAUCGACAAUAAACUCGCCAGAUAUAUGAUUUCAAAUAAAAUAAUAUGAUGUCUAUUACA